rnacentral:pre_miRNA from 1 species
GUAGAUUUUCCUUUUAUGGUUACGUUUUGAUGGUUAAUCAUAGAGGAAAAUCCACGU